ensembl:lncRNA
AGCAAUAAGGUUAAUUAUAUCAAUCGUGGCACUCACAGUCUGUGCAGAUUUUCUUUGAGAAAAAAGGAAAUGCCAAUUUGCCAGAAGGUGCAAAUUGUUCAUGUAUGGCAUGCCUCUUAUGCUGUGUAUAAAAGCCAGGGCAGAAGGCGACACAACUGCAAACUGACCCGGCAAUCACAGCCACUGCAAACAUGUGAGCUCUUUUGGUCAGGUGAAGAUGUGGUGGUCUGAGGAAGACUCUGUAAUGUCUCUUUGUUUGUGUUUCACGUCCAGGUUGACAGUAUUGGCUCUGAUGACACUUCUGAUGGUCUCGGUUGAGUCGGACCUCUCAAAUGAAGAGUGGAAGUCUCUGAGUAACCCACAGAGCAGGACCCUGUUUUUCCGAAUCCUGCAGUCAUAUCUUGAAGACAGAGAGAGUGAAGUUCAAGCGAUGAACAGGAAAACAAACAUGAAGGAAAACAAAAACAGCAAUAUAGAAAAUACUGGUUAUGACAAGUACGAGCUCUAUCGUCACAAUGACAUUUAUGAUGUUUAAUUGAGGAUUUCAUUUUUAACAUGCAAAUCAGGUAUUAGGUCUAAUAGUUUGAGAAAUGUUCAAGUCAUUAUGUCUGCAAUGAUGUUUUGCAUAGUAAAAUUGAAACACUUGCUGGACAAAUUUCUGCCUGUUUUUCUUUAUAUAUUUCUCAUUUAUAGUAAGUAAAUGAUUCAUAAUAGUUUUUUGUUAUUAAUGUUUAACAAAGUGAAAAACUAGAGUUGAUCCAAGCAAAGCAUGUCAAGGAAGAAAUAUACGGGUCACUUCAAAUUAUCAUUCCUCUAUUGUUUAAAUAUUUCU